rnacentral:rRNA from 1 species
AGUGAACGCUGGCGGCGUGCUUAACACAUGCAAGUCGAACGAGAACGGAAUAUAGCUUGCUAUAUUUGUCAGCUAAGUGGCGCACGGGCGAGUAAUGUAUAGAGAACCUGCCCUUAAGAAAGGAAUAACAGUUGUAAACGACUGCGAAUGCCCUCUAUGCCUUUAAUACAUAAGCAUGCAAGGGAAACGCUUUAGUGCGUAAGGAUGGGUCUGUAUGGUAUCAGCUUGUUGGUGAGGUAAUGGCUCACCAAGGCUAUGACGCCUAACUGGUUUGAGAGGAUGAUCAGACACACUGGAACUGAGACACGGUCCAGACUCCUACGGAAGGCAGCAGUGGGGAAUAUUGCACAAUGGACGAAAGUCUGAUGCAGCAACGCCGCGUGGAGGAUGACACAUUUCGGUGCGUAAACUCCUUUUAUAGAGGAAGAUAAUGACGGUACUAUAUGAAUAAGCACCGGCUUACUCCGUGCCAGCAGCCGCCGUAA